AAGGAGCACACGGCACCACCGCUCCGUGUGAAGGCGGCCCCGGUGUCAGGGGUAUGUGCGAAAGCGCAUGGCCUUCGGUGCUCGGCUAUAGCAUGUGGACCACUGGCUAUUCAACCCGGACGAUCGGGCGUUGACGCUAGUACUACUUGCGUGCUUCACCUUCGAGUGGGGCUCACGGUUGUGGAACGCGUACUGUGGCCCCGGAGUGGGGUUGGGCAUGCUGACCGCUAGUACCACUUGCGUGCUUCCACCCUUCGGGUGGUGCUCUCACAUGUGGAACCCGGACGGUGUUCACGGGGUGGGUUUGGGCACACUGUUGGGUCGUCAGCAAACGGACCCUUAGGGGCCUCCGGUUCUCUCUCUUUCGGGCGAGGGGUCGGGGCGUGGUGCUUGGUUGUUUCUUCUGGGUUGGUGCGGAGCCUGGUUUCCGCCUGGGGGUUCCUGGGUGUUGGGGUUGGGUUGUUCCGUUUGUUUUUUGAGAACUGCACAGUGGACGCGAGCAUCUUUUAUAUCGCGUGAUCGUUUUGU
rnacentral:misc_RNA from 1 species